UGCAGGUGUAGGGAAUCGAACCCAGCACAUUUCACAUGCAAAGCGAGCGCUCUACCUCUGAGCUACACCCAC